UACGGAAGGCAGCAGUGGGGAAUAUUGCACAAUGGGCGAAAGCCUGAUGCAGCUAUGCCGCGUGUAUGAAGAAGGCCUUAGGGUUGUAAAGUACUUUCAUCGGGGAGGAAAAAACAAAACUAAUAAUUUUAUUUCUUGACGUUACCCGAAAAAGAAGCACCGGCUAACUCCGUGCCAGCAGCCGCGGUAAUACGGAGGGUGCUAGCGUUAAUCAGAAUUACUGGGCGUAAAGAGCACGUAGGUGGUUUUUUUAAGUCAGAUGUGAAAUCCCUGGGCUUAACCUAGGAACUGCAUUUUGAAACUGAAAUACUAGAGUAUCGUAGAGGGAGGUAGAAUUCUAGGUGUAGCGGUGAAAUGCGUAGAUAUCUGGAGGAAUACCUGUGGCGAAAGCGGCCUCCUAAACGAAUACUGACACUGAGGUGCGAAAGCGUGGGGAGCAAACAGGAUUAGAUACCCGU
rnacentral:rRNA from 1 species